rfam:Capsicum annuum cultivar Zunla-1 chromosome 2, whole genome shotgun sequence
UCCGUUAUCGUCCAGCGGUAAGGAUAUCUGGCUUUCACCCAGGAGACCCGGGUUCGAUUCCCGGUAACGGAA